GACGAACGCUGGCGGCGUGCUUAACACAUGCAAGUCGAACGAGACGAUUGAAAGCUUGCUUUUAAAAGUCGAGUGGCAAACGGGUGAGUAACGCGUAGACAACCUGCCUUUGAGAUGGGGACAACAGUUCGAAAGGACUGCUAAUACCGAAUGUUGUAUAUUUUCCACAUGGAAGAUAUAUUAAAGAUGGCCUCUAUUUAUAAGCUAUCGCUCAAAGAUGGGUCUGCGUCUGAUUAGCUGGUUGGUGGGGUAACGGCCUACCAAGGCGACGAUCAGUAGCCGGUCUGGGAGGGUGAAAGGCAACAUUGGGACUGAGGCACGACCCAGACUCCUACGGGAGGAAGCAGUGGGUAAUCUUCCACAAUGGACGAAAGUCUGAUGGGGCAACGCCGCGUGAGUGAAGAAGGGUUUCGGCUCGUAAAGCUCUGUUGUCGGGGACGAAUGUGCAGUAUUUGAAUAAAGUACUGCAAUGACGGUACCUGACGAGGAAGCCACGGCUAACUACGUGCCAGCCGCCGCCGUAA
rnacentral:rRNA from 1 species